UAAUGAUUGUAUAAGCCAUGCGGUUUCACUGGCCUUUUGGAUCUAUUUAUGCUUCUUCAUUGUAAUGUGGACUGUGACUACACAAUGAUUGAUCCUUUGCUUUCACUGUGGAAUUGGUUGAUUGCUGCUGUUAAAUUGUUCAAGUGUUUUGCUGUUAUUACAACAUGUUGUACAUCAAUGGCCCUUUUGAGUGCUGUUCUGUUUCUUAUGGUGCCUUUAUCAAGUGCCUUAUUAUUUUUCUCUCCAUGUUUUUAGACACCACGCUGAAAUUUAUCAUUAUCAGUGUUCCUUUGUCUGUACUGCCAUGGUACAUUUACAUCUGUAAUGUACCAUGUGCAACUAAGAAAUGUUUGAAUUUCAGGUUCUUCUGAGUGGCAUGGGUAGACACUGUCACUUUCUGUAUGCUUUGUUUCAUACAUUUACAAAAUUGAAAUUCCUUUUAAUGCAAUUGGUUUCUUUUUUUUUUUUUUUUUUUUAAAUUUAUCCCAUUUUCUUUUGUCUGUUUAAUGUUCUGUUUAUUGAAGAAAGUCUAAAUGCCUUCAUGGGGCUAAGAUGACGUCAUCACCGCAGUAGCAAGAGUAAGUUAAGUUUUAAUAGAAAAAAGGAAAAUAAAUAAAAGGAA